rnacentral:rRNA from 1 species
UACGAAGGGUGCAAGCGUUACUCGGAAUUACUGGGCGUAAAGCGUGCGUAGGUGGUUUGUUAAGUUCUGUUGUGAAAGCCCUGGGCUCAACCUGGGAAUGGCAAUGGAUACUGGCAAGCUAGAGUGCGGUAGAGGGUAGUGGAAUUCCCGGUGUAGCGGUGAAAUGCGUAGAGAUCGGGAGGAACACCAGUGGCGAAGGCGGCUACCUGGACCAGCACUGACACUGAGGCGCGAAAGCCAGGGGAGCAAACGGG